AAUAAAAAUGGUCUGUAAUGGCAAAUGCAUAAUUGGGGGUUGCUAUUUUGCAUGUCUUGUCUUUUUACUUACUUUUCUGAUCGUUCUUUGAUUGUCUUUUCUAAAGCUAUCAGCCGGUGACAUUUUGGAAAUUAAAAAAAAAAAAAAAAGAAAAAGAAAAAGAAAUCCAGACUGGUUCUUUACCAUGGAUUGUUUCAGAAGCAAUGAUCCUCAGUCCUAUGUCUUGCUGGCUUAAGUAAGCUUAAGAAAAUGUCAAUAGGAUAGAACCAGAGUUAGGAGCCAGUGUGUAUUUCGGUGCCCUGUUGUCUCGAUUGUUUCAAACAGGUGAUUUGUAUUUCUGAAAAGCUCCAAUUGAACGAGAGCCAUCUUGAGAAAGCCCCUUUCUACCAAGGAAUGCCCGAGAACGAUUCUUUACGCUGUCUCUACCCAGUCCUCUCUGUCGCUUCAGCCUUGGCGUCUCCAGUGGAUCUCAGAGGCAAGAAUUUACUGCAGGGAAAUACCAAGCAAUGUCUGAACUUUGAGCUGGGGAAAAGUGUUUUAUUUGAGCAGGUGCUGAGAGGACUCACAAGCCAGAGGAGACCCCGCUCCGAGGCCUGCUGCCCGCACCCGUCUUCAGGCUCCAGAACAUUCAGAGUAACAAAGGCAAAGUGAGGAAGCCCAGCCUGCCUGCUGGUGGGGGGGCCAUGGCUCUGCUUCCCUUUUUCUCUUUUCUUUCACACCCCCUCUGAAGAGCGGCAGAGGCUGGGAGAGCCACCGGCUGCACCAGAUCGAGGAGGUCACCAGGGAGGGCCCAUCCCUGGAGCAGAUCAAGCUCAAGAGAGGAGCCUGGGUGAGGGGGACAGGAGGCGACAGCCAGACGGUGAGAGCCGCUGGGCCGAUGAAGGCGGGGCUGGUCCGGGGGCCAAACUCUGAAGUCAAGCUUAUUCGGGGCCCUCACUUUUCUCAAGUGCCCCAGUGUUCCCAAGAUGGCUUCCACUGGCCUGCCCUCUGGAUCCAGACCUUUCUCUCUCAUUCUCUGCCUUCAAAAGAUACCUGUUCUGAGGUAAACUUCACCUGUUUUUGCCCUUUCUCCUUCUCAGCUUCUGCCUCUUUCUCUGAAAAAAAAAAAAAAAAAAAAAAAUCUGUGCUGAGGAUUUAGCGAGUGAUAACGAAUUAAUUAGUAAACUUUCUCAAAUAAAAUAUUUACAUUUUUGAAAGGAGCCAAAGCAAAGGUAGAAUUUCAAAGGAAGCUCCUAAAAUUGCCUUCCGGCCACCCGUGUGUCCCCCAGGUAAGUCCUGGCCCUGUGCCCCUCUUGUUUAUAAGUGUCCUCGUGUCUUCCCCUCAGGAUCUUUUAAGGGACCACAAUAAUUUGAGCUGCAGAAACUAUAAAUUGUCUUUGUAUACGUUUAUGUGAUAUUUGCUAAUGCAAAUAGCACAUGGGAGCGGAAUUGUAAACUUAUAAGUAACCUUAAGCUUAUCUUUUUAGUAACUCUAAGCUGAUAUUAACACAUAUGUUAUAAAAUACGUAAAUAUAUUAUAAAUAUUAUGAAAUAUUAUAAAGAUCUUAUCUAUCUCUCUAUCUAGUAGUAUGGAUCCCUGAUUCACAUUCUCUGAAGUAUACAGUUAGGAGUUCAUUGGGAACAGGAGGAAAGAAACACACAAAGGGAAAGAAGUCGUGGAUGGUGGCGUGUUACUAAAAAAGUCUCCCGGACCCGAGUUUGAGGGCAUGAGUUGGUCAUUUGCUCUUACUUAAUGUGGAUGGGUUGCUCGACAAAGCCCUUAAAGACUGUUUCCUUUCUCCUAGUCACCAUUAUUCCCUUGACAUCAGCCACCAUAAUUGCGGGGGGUUUUUCCCGUCAAGACGUGAACCCAGUAAUUGAGAACACGCUGGCCGAAGCUUGUUUCUCUCCUACAACAGUGGGAAGCGCUUUCACAUGGGUUAAAAUUAACUAAAAAUAUCGCUCCUCUGCCACAUCCCCACCCUCAGGCCCCUGGAAGGAGAGUCUGUAAGCUCUUUUUAGAUUUCCCCAGAGGUUGGGAGUGGGCCAGUCACUUCAAGGGGGAGAAGAAGUUCGCCAAUAAUUGAUGGUGCUUGCUUUAUAAUAAUUAUCGUAACAUUUCAUAAAUAACAUCAUAUAAGUAUCGUAUCAAACAAUGUCAAAUGAUGAGGUCGAGUAAUAAAUAGAAUACAUUUGUAUGAACAUAAGAAAGAGUCAUUGAACCGUAGGAGGCUGAGUUUUACGAUCGUCAUUCUGCCCUUCCUGCCCUGUCUCCACAUACAAUGGACCCAUCACCAUGACAUCAAGUCAGUGGGGACCCCCACUCUAUGCCUGGCGCCCUGAAGCUCCCAUGUUGAUGACCCCCAGAGAAGGUCUGAAGGUCUGAAGGUCUUUUCUUCGCAAAGGAAUUUGCCACCUGUUUGUGACGGUCUCUGAAUUCUGUCGGGCGGCUUCUUCAUCAAAAGCACGCGUGGUUCCUCAUUAGCCUGGGUUGCCUCUCUAAAGAUAUUCCUGAUUAAAAUCACACUUGUGCCAUGCACUGUGUAAAGAUACAAAAAUAGAAGAUGACAUUUUGGAAGUGUGUAGUGGGGACGGUUGCACAACGUCGCGAAUGGAAUUAAUGCCGCUGCGUGAUAGAUUUUAAAAUGGCUAAACUGGAAAUGUUUGUUACGUGGAUUCUACUGCAAUAAUACAAAUGUUUUACCAAAAAAAAAAACCACAACCCCAAACAACCACACUGAGUAAGAUAGUCCUGGUCCUCGGGUUCCUCAUGGUCUAGUUGGGAGGACCAAAACGUGCAAACAAAGGUGUGAUUGGUGAGAAGGUAGGAUAUAAAAAGGGAGGCAAAGGAGGAGGCUGUGAAUGAAAUGUAACCUUUUAUUUGCUUUUGUGUGUUCUGUGUUUUAGUGGCGGUGUUAGGGGAGCCCGCUAGACCCGAGGCUUCCGUGAUGAGCAAUGCUACUCCAGAAGCCAAAGGCGUAGGCUCCCCUCAAAUGCUGGAUUCUGCAACAACGCGGGUCCUAACAUUGGACCCGCGGGAGAAACUGUGCCUAGUGGAGUCCUAAGUCCAGUUGUCCUCUCCACUGUCAUUAACUCCUCCUACCCAGGGCCCGGAAAGGGUGAGACCGGAGAGGCACGUAGGGUGUGAAAUUGAAGGAGCCACUUAUGCUCAUGGUCAAGUGCCGACAUGGGAAGCAGCGACCUCCGUAACAUGUCCACAUGUCCACAGACCCAUGGAUCUUGCACAUCUUUGCAUCUCCUAAGACCAAUAUCAAGUGGAGCACAGAGACAGCACGCAGCAAAUGGCAGCAUGCUUUGGCAAGCAUUUCAAAAAUAAAUGAAUUUAUUUAUUCCACCACAUCCCCUAGGGACGAGCUCUUCA